rnacentral:rRNA from 1 species
AACGAACGCUGGCGGCAGGCCUAACACAUGCAAGUCGAGCGCCCCCUUUAGAGCACAAAGACGGAGACGCGGUGGUUGGAGAGAUCCGAUCGCUGGUUUUGGUGUUUUUGUCUUCUGAUGGGGGAGCGGCGGACGGGUGAGUAACGCGUGGGAAUUUUCCUCAAGGUACGGAACAACUCAGGGAAACUUGGGCUAAUACCGUAUGAUGUCUAGCGACCAAAGAUUUAUCGCCUUGGGAUAAGCCCGCGUCAGAUUAGGUAGUUGGUGGGGUAACGGCCGUACCAAGCCUGCGAUCUGUAGCUGGUCUGAGGGGACGAUCAGCCACACUGGGACUGAGACACGGCCCAGACUCCUACGGGAGGCAGCAGUGGGGAAUC